rnacentral:rRNA from 1 species
AGAGGAGCCAWGCGUUGUCCGGAUUGACUGGGCGUAAAGCGCACGCAGGCGGUUGCGCGCGUGGGGUGUGAAAUCUGGCCGCUUAACGGCCAGGCGCCAUCCCAUACGGCGCGACUGGAGUGAUGCAGAGGUCGAUGGAAUUGCCGGUGUAGUGGUGAAAUGCGUAGAGAUCGGCAGGAACACCCAGGGGGAAACCAGUCGACUGGGCAUCUACUGACGCUGAGGUGCGAGAGCGUGGGGAGCGAACCGGAUUAGAUACCCGGGUAGUCCACGCCGUAAACGAUGGCCACUCGGCCUUUGCGGGCGGAAUCUCCGUCCGUGGGGGCCUUAGCUAACGCGGGAAGUGGCCCGCCUGGGAACUACGAGCGCAAGCUUA